rnacentral:rRNA from 1 species
AUUGAACGCUGGCGGCAAGCCUAACACAUGCAAGUCGAACGAGUGGCGGACGGGUGAGUAAUGUCUGGGAAACUGCCUGAUGGAGGGGGAUAACUACUGGAAACGGUAGCUAAUACCGCAUACCAUCGGAUGUGCCCAGAUGGGAUUAGCUAGUAGGUGGGGUAAAGGCUCACCUAGGCGACGAUCCCUAGCUGGUCUGAGAGGAUGACCAGCCAAACUGGAAAUGAGGUACGGUCCAGAAUCCUACGGGAGGCAGGAGUGGGGAAUAUGGCAAAAUGGGCGGAAGCCUGAUGUAGCCAUGCCGCGUGUAUGAAGAAGGCCUUCGGGUUGGAAAGUACUUUCAGCGGGGAGGCGUUACCCGCAGAAGAAGCACCGGCUAACUCCGUGCCAGCAGCCGCGGUAAUUC